GAUGAACGCUGGCGGCGUGCUUAACACAUGCAAGUCGAACGAAGCACUCUAGUUGAUUUCCUACGGGACUGAUGAUUUUGUGACUGAGUGGCGGACGGGUGGGUAACGAGUGGGUAACAUGCCUUGUACAGGGGGAUAACAGCCGGAAACGGCUGCUAAUACCGCAGAAGCGCACGGCGUCGCAUGGGGCAGGGAGAAAAACGCCGGUGGUAGAAGAGGGACCCGGGUUGGAUGAGCUAGUGGGUGAGGUAACGGCCCACCAAGGCGGCGAGCCAUCGCAGGCCUGAGAGGGUGCCCGGCCAGAUUGGGACUGAGACACGGCCCCAACUCCUGCGGGAGGCAGCAGUGGGGAAUAUUGCACAGUGGGCGUAAGGCUGAUGCAGCGACGCCGCGUGAGCGAAGAAGUGUUUCUGUAUGUAAUGCUCUAUCAGCAGGGCAGAUAAUGACGGUACCUGACUAAGAAGCACCGGCUAACUACGUG
rnacentral:rRNA from 1 species